UGGCUGAGCGGUAAAGCGCUUGGCCUCUGAACCUGGGGUCCCGGGUUCGAAUCCCGG
rfam:Biomphalaria glabrata isolate BB02 unplaced genomic scaffold LGTN_random_Scaffold11653, whole genome shotgun sequence.